rnacentral:rRNA from 1 species
GAUGAACGCUGGCGGCGUGCCUAAUACAUGCAAGUCGAGCGAACAGACGAGGAGCUUGCUCCUCUGACGUUAGCGGCGGACGGGUGAGUAACACGUGGAUAACCUACCUAUAAGACUGGGAUAACUUCGGGAAACCGGAGCUAAUACCGGAUAAUAUAUUGAACCGCAUGGUUCAAUAGUGAAAGACGGUUUUGCUGUCACUUAUAGAUGGAUCCGCGCCGCAUUAGCUAGUUGGUAAGGUAACGGCUUACCAAGGCGACGAUGCGUAGCCGACCUGAGAGGGUGAUCGGCCACACUGGAACUGAGACACGGUCCAGACUCCUACGGGAGGCAGCAGUAGGGAAUCUUCCGCAAUGGGCGAAAGCCUGACGGAGCAACGCCGCGUGAGUGAUGAAGGUCUUCGGAUCGUAAAACUCUGUUAUUAGGGAAGAACAAACGUGUAAGUAACUAUGCACGUCUGGACGGUACCUAAUCAGAAAGCCACGGCUAACUACGU